AUACUCUGGUUUCUCUUCAGAUCAUACAAAUCUUUUGCCUUUUACUAAAGAUUUCCAUGGAGAGAAACAACUCUGAGUCUAAACCCAAUUUUUUAAAGCCUUGCACAUAGCAAGGUU
ensembl:snRNA U5 U5 spliceosomal RNA